AUGAAGUUCUCCUGGUGGAUGGGCGUACCUAGAGCCCCUCUGUGAGGGGUCGCAGGUUCCCUCUCCUUGCGCAUCUCUAGCUCAAGCCCCAAAGACCAAAGAGUGUAGGCCGAGGCCAUAGGAGGAUGGCAGUGCCGGUGGGCACACACCUGGCCUGGAAUCCUCAUUCUUGUCGGUACGAGUUAGUGAGUUGUAAUUUAUUCACAGCAGCUGGCUGCCUAUUCCUCCGGUUGAGAAGGGAUUGGUGAAAACAGAAGCAAGAAGGAUGGAGAGGCUUGGUCAGAGGAGGAGGGCCAGAGCAGGUCUGUUGGCACCCUAUCCUUUCCCUUGCGGCCCACCUGGAGCCCAGUGCCUUCAGACUGCUGUUGAAGUUACCAUAUUCCUCUGUCAUACUAUACUUCCCCUCUCCUAAACUGUCCAAUCGUGGAUUAUCUGGGUGAGCCCAAUGUAACCCCAAGGGCCUUUAAUAGUGGAAGAGGGAAUUGAAAGAAAACCAGAGACAAAGCAGCGUGAGAAGGACGUGGUCGAAUAUUGUUGACUUUGAAGAUGGAGGAGGAAGGCCAAGAGCCGAGCGGGUAAAACCUUCAAGGUGUGGGGACACUCUAGAAGAUGGAAAGGCAAGGAACAGGGUCCUUCCCUAGAGCCUCCAGAAAGGAACACAGCCUUGGUGACAUCUUGAUUUUAGUCCAGUGAGACCCAUUUCACCCUUCUGAACUAUAGAACUGGAAGACAAAUUUAUGUUCUGAGCCAACAAAUUUAUGGUGAUAACAGCAGAUCAAAGGCACGGGACCAGAA